rnacentral:rRNA from 1 species
CCUACGGGAGGCAGCAGUGGGGAAUAUUGCGCAAUGGGCGAAAGCCUGACGCAGCGACGCCGCGUGAGGGAUGAAGGCCUUCGGAUCGUAAACCUCUGUCAGUAGGGAAGAACGGUCACUGUGCUAAUCAGCAGUGAAUUGACGGUACCUGCAAAGGAAGCACCGGCUAACUCCGUGCCAGCAGCCGCGGUAAUACGGAGGGUGCGAGCGUUAAUCGGAAUUACUGGGGGUAAAGCGCUCUAAGGCGGUAUGUCAAGUCAAGGGUGAAAUCCCCGCGCUAAACGGGGGAACUGCCUUUGAAACGGGCAGACUGGAGUGGGUGAGAGGAGAGUGGAAUUCCAGGUGUAGGAGUGAAAUCCG